UACGUAGGGGGCAAGCGUUGUCCGGAAUCAUUGGGCGUAAAGCGCACGUAGGCGGCUUUGUAAGUUAGAGGUGAAAGCCCGGGGCUCAACUCCGGAAUUGCCUUUAAGACUGCAUCGCUAGAAUUGUGGAGAGGUAAGUGGAAUUCCGAGUGUAUAGGUGAAAUUCGUAGAUAUUCGGAAGAACACCAGUGGCGAAGGCGACUUACUGGACACAUAUUGACGCUGAGGUGCGAAAGCGUGGGGAGCAAACAGG
rnacentral:rRNA from 1 species